GGAGGGUACAGCUCAGUGGCAGAGCACAUGCUUAGCAUGCAUGAGGUCCUGGGCUCAAUCCCCAGCACCUCCA
rnacentral:tRNA from 1 species